CAUUACACAAUAUGAAGGCGGGCUGGACACCCUCCAGCCGGGCACUGCUUCACGGCGUGCGCGGCUGGAGCCGGCCCUGCUGAAUUAUUCACCCGUGUCUUUUGCGUACUUCUUGUUUCCUGGGUGGGCUCGCCCGCCAUCAGGACCAACCAUAAACCUUUUUGUAAUAGCAAUCAGCGUCAGUAACAACGUAAUUAAUUACAACUUUCAACAACGGAUCUCUUGGUUCUGGCAUCGAUGAAGAACGCAGCGAAAUGCGAUACGUAGUGUGAAUUGCAGAAUUCAGUGAAUCAUCGAAUCUUUGAACGCACAUUGCGCCCUUUGGUAUUCCAAAGGGCAUGCCUGUUCGAGCGUCAUUUGUACCCUCAAGCUUUGCUUGGUGUUGGGCGUCUUUUGUCUCCAGCUCGCUGGAGACUCGCCUUAAAGUCAUUGGCAGCCGGCCUACUGGUUUCGGAGCGCAGCACAAGUCGCGCUCUUGCCCAGCCAAGGUCAGCGUCCAGCAAGCCUUUUUUCAACCUUUGACCUCGGAUCAGGUAGGGAUACCCGCUGAACUUAAGCAUAUCAAUAAGCGGA
rnacentral:rRNA from 1 species